rnacentral:lncRNA from 1 species
AGUGGCGGCGGGCCCGCGCGGUGCCGGCGACUAGCAGCGAGGUGUCCUGGCCCCUUCCAGGUUUGGAGAUGGCCUUGGGAGAGCAACCUCUGGACCUCAGCAGUGUGAGCAUGACAACAGUACCCUGUGGUGCUGUCCCCACUCAGGUUGGCUACCAUCCCUGCUGAUGGAGAGAGGCUGAAGUCUGUCCGAGAAGAUAGUGCCGGCAACUACUUAGCUGUUACUAAUUGUAUUUGCAGAGUAGGGGGUUUCUCAUCCUGGAACUCACUCUGUAGAUCAGGCUGUCCUCAAACUCAGAGAUCCACCUGCCUCUGCCUCUGAAGUCCUGGGAAUGCAGAGGCCUCCCAGAGAAGUGUGAAGGGAUGGGCCUUAACCAGGGUUGAAGAAAGAAAGUGAAGAAGGGGAGAGCCCAAGGAAAGGUGGGGACAGUUGGAACUUUUGAUUACACUGGUCUACUUCUCAUGUAUCAUAUGCUAUGAUCUCCAAAUUCCACAUUUAUUGUAGCUGUCUGCAGUGUGUACGCCCCGGCCGCAUGCUGCUUGGCUAAAAAAGUGUUAAAUAAAACUGUAAGAAACGCU